rnacentral:rRNA from 1 species
CCAGACUCCUACGGGAGGCAGCAGUAGGGAAUCUUCGGCAAUGGACGAAAGUCUGACCGAGCAACGCCGCGUGAGUGAAGAAGGUUUUCGGAUCGUAAAACUCUGUUGGUAGAGAAGAACGUUGGUGAGAGUGGAAAGCUCAUCAAGUGACGGUAACUACCCAGAAAGGGACGGCUAACUACGUGCCAGCAGCCGCGGUAAUACGUAGGUCCCGAGCGUUGUCCGGAUUUAUUGGGCGUAAAGCGAGCGCAGGUGGUUUAUUAAGUCUGGUGUAAAAGGCAGUGGCUCAACCAUUGUAUGCAUUGGAAACUGGUAGACUUGAGUGCAGGAGAGGAGAGUGGAAUUCCAUGUGUAGCGGUGAAAUGCGUAGAUAUAUGGAGGAACACCGGUGGCGAAAGCGGCUCUCUGGCCUGUAACUGACACUGAGGCUCGAAAGCGUGGGGAGCAAACAGGA